UUAUGUAAUAGACAUACCCCAGGUUUCAGAUUUCUUAACUGUAAAAAACACUGAAUUCCCUGGUAGAUACAGAGCAGCAGCUACUGGUGCCUUGAGGGGGAAGAGCAGUCAUUUCCUGGCAUGUUCCCCCAAGCCCACAUCCUGGACAGCCCCCUGUGCAGUGGAGGGUGCUGGAUGUGGAUCCAGGCAGCGUGGCUCAGAUCGUGGCUCUGCCUCUCAUCAUGCCUCUGUGACAUUUGGCAGGGAUACAGGAAUGGAUUGAGGAGAAUUUCCUGAUUCUAAGAAAGACAAGGCAAUCCAAUUCACUUUUUCUUCUUUUCAAAGAAAAUUUUAUAUAACAUCUUGCCUCCCUGUGCUGCUCAGCCCCAAACACGAUGUGCAGAAUAUCUGUGCCUGUGUUUCUGUGGCUUUCUAGCCUGAUACUGCUAAGCACCGAGCCUUGCCAUUAUAGAUAGUAAA